ACAAGGUUUCUGUAGGUGAACCUGCAGAAGGAUCAUU
rnacentral:rRNA from 1 species